UACGGGGGGGGGCGAGCGUUGUCCGGAAUUAUUGGGCGUAAAGAGCUCGUAGGCGGUUUGUCGCGUCUGCUGUGAAAAUCCAGGGCUUAACCCUGGACCUGCAGUGGGUACGGGCAGACUGGAGUGCGGUAGGGGAGAUCGGAAUUCCUGGUGUAGCGGUGAAAUGCGCAGAUAUCAGGAGGAACACCGGUGGCGAAGGCGGAUCUCUGGGCCGUAACUGACGCUGAGGAGCGAAAGCAUGGGGAGCGAACAGG
rnacentral:rRNA from 1 species